rnacentral:lncRNA from 1 species
GCGAGACCCCGGACCAGCCCGCACCGCGGAGGACCGGAGAGGGCGAUUCGGUGAGUAUAUGGUGAGAAGGCAGCUGUCUGUGAACCAGAAGGAGGGCCCUCACCAAGAAGUGACCAUGCUGGCACCCUGAUCUUGGACUUCUGGCAUCUGGAACUAAAGUUUGCUUGCUUUCAAGCCUGGAACGCCUGGGACCUUCAGUGAACCUCUUCCUCAGAUACAUGCCUGCGUAGUGUCAACUUGCUCUAUUGCUGGGAAGUGCUUGGCUGAUUAUCUUCUUCCUGCCCUGGGAGAUGUCUCACUAAUCAUUCAUUCAUUCAGCAAACAUUACAACGUUCCAGGCACUGUGCUAACUACUGAAUAUUCAGUGAUAUAGGAUAAAAUCUCUGUCCUAAAGUUGCUUGCAGUCAGAUGGGAGAAAAGCAAGUAAAUACAACAAUUUGUGAGCUUUAAAAAAGACCUAUAACAUCUUGUGAAGGAGGGGCAGAACUUAUCAUCCUCAACUAACAUAGAGAAAAUUGUCUCAUAGAGCAGGAGCUGAUAGCCCUUGGCUUUCUGGAUGGAGGAGACAGCAAUGGAGUGGAGGGAUUUCUCAGGAAUCUCCCCCAGGGGCUGCUCUAC